UGGAAAAUCUUUUCGCGAAGAAACCAUGGGUUAAGCCAUUGUCCAUUGCUGGUUCUAAUGUAUCAAUGGAUGAUAUGGAUCAACCAUCAGAAUCAAAUCAAACUUGUAAACGUCAAAAGUUAGCUGUACAAGAAGCAACUAUCAAGUACAUGAAUGAUUGUGCAGAAGACAACAAAUUUAUGAAGAGAAGCCACUGCAUAAUAUAGAGAAAAGAAAUUGGAACUUUUCGGUAAUUUAGUGCACUCGUUACAACCGAAGUAGAUAAUUGCUUUUUUUCGAUUAUUAUUAGAUAUAAGGUAAAACGAUCUAUAGCGACAUUUUAUGUCAUUGUAAUGACAGUUUCGAAAACGAUUGUUCGAUAUAUAGUUUAUUAAUAGUCGAUAAAUACAAUAAUGAAGCGUGGAUAAGCCAUUUCGAAAGGCUACAUUGUUCCUACUUUUGUUAAUAAGUAUAUUUUUAUAAAGUUUAAUACUAAUUAGUCGGUAGGUAUUGUUAUAAAACCUACAUUGCAUAUCUGUAAGCAAACAUGAAUACAAUAAAUGGAUAAUUCAUAAAAAA